GAUGAACGCUAGCGGCAGGCCUAAUACAUGCAAGUCGAACGGUGUCUUCGGACAUAGUGGCGCACGGGUGCGUAACACGUAUGCAACCUACCUUACAUUGGGGGAUAGCCUUUCGAAAGGGAGAUUAAUACCGCAUAAGACAGUAACUAGGCAUCUAGUAGCUGUUAAAGAUUUAUCGAUGUAAGCUGGGCAUGCGUCCAAUUAGCUAGUUGGUGAGGUAACGGCUCACCAAGGCAAUGAUUGGUAGGGGAACUGAGAGGUCAAUCCCCCACCCUGGCACUGAGAUACGGGCCAGACUCCUACGGGAGGCAGCAGUAGGGAAUUUUGGACAAUGGGCGCAAGCCUGAUCCAGCCAUUCCGCGUGCAGGAUGAAGGCCCUCGGGUUGUAAACUGCUUUUGUACAGAACGAAAAGCUCUGGGUUAAUACCCUGGGGUCAUGACGGUACUGUAAGAAUAAGCACCGGCUAACUACGUGCCAGCAGCCGCCGUAACAC
rnacentral:rRNA from 1 species